GACGUAGGGCGCGAGCGUUGUCCGGAUUUAUUGGGCGUAAAGAGCUCGUAGGUGGCUUGUUGCGUCUGCCGUGAAAGCCCGUGGCUUAACUACGGGUCUGCGGUGGAUACGGGCAGGCUAGAGGCUGGUAGGGGCAAGCGGAAUUCCUGGUGUAGCGGUGAAAUGCGCAGAUAUCAGGAGGAACACCGGUGGCGAAGGCGGCUUGCUGGGCCAGUUCUGACGCUGAGGAGCGAAAGCGUGGGGAGCGAACAGG
rnacentral:rRNA from 1 species